CUUUUAACUGUGUUCUCCCUUCCCCACAGGAAACAUGGUGGAAUGGUGUUUACCUCAAGAUAUUGACCUUGAAGGCGUUGAGUUCAAGUCUAUGGCCAGUGGGUCCCAUAAAAUCCAGUCUGAUUUCAUCUAUUUCCGGAAGGGCCCCUUCUUCGGCCUGGCCUGCUUCGCCAACAUGCCGGUGGAGAGCGAGCUGGAGCGGGGAGCACGCAUGAAGUCUGUGGGCAUCCUGUCUCCGUCCUACACCCUGCUUUACCGUUACAUGCACUUCUUGGAGAACCAGGUUCGACACCAAUUGGAGAUGCCAGGACAUUACUCCCAUCUGGCUGCCUUCUACGAGGACAAGAAAGGGGUGCUCCAUGCUGGUCCCGGGAGGGGCGGCAGCCUGCCCCCCGUCUACUGGCUGCCUUCCAUCCACCGGUACAUGUACCCAGAGAUGAAGAUCACACACCCAGCUGGCUGCAUGUCUCAGUUUAUUAAGUUCUUUGGAGAACAGAUCCUCAUUCUUUGGAAAUUUGCCUUACUUAGAAAGCGCAUUCUGAUAUUUUCUCCCCCUCCUGUGGGUGUCGUGUGCUAUCGAGUAUACUGCUGCUGCUGCCUGGCCAACGUCUCCCUGCCCGGCCUCGGGGGCACCAUUCCAGAGUCCAAGCCUUUCUUCUAUGUGAACGUGGCUGACAUCGAGAGCCUGGAGGUAGAGGUGUCCUAUGUGGCCUGCACCACGGAGAAGAUUUUCGAGGAGAAGCGGGAGCUGUACGAUGUCUACGUGGACAACCAGAAUGUGAAGACACACCACGACCACCUGCAGCCCCUGCUGAAGAUCAACAGCGCCGACCGGGAGAAGUACCGGCGGCUCAACGAGCAGAGGCAGACGCUGCUGUACUCCCAGGAGGUGGAGGGGGACUACGGCCCAUGUGAAGAGGACCUCUUUGUGCUGUUUUUCCUCGAACAAAACAACCGGAUAUUCCAGACGCUGCUGGAGGUGUCCGCCAGUCAGGACAAAACUCUGACAGCCGAGCAUGCGCGGGGCAUGGGCCUGGACCCCCAGGGCGACCGCAGCUUCCUCAUGGACCUGCUGGAGGCCUACGGCAUCGACGUCAUGUUGGUCAUCGACAACCCCUGCUGCCCAUAGGAGGGGAGCCGGGCUGUGUGGGAAACCCGAGAGCUGGGGCCUGUCCUCCUGGAGGCCAAGGACAGACAUUCUCCAGGUAACGGGAACCAAAGCCGGAAUAACUGCCAUCCGGAGGAGCCAGCACCUCGAACCCCAAUCCCAUCAGACGACUUCUAGAGGAGGACACCACAGAGACCACAGCCCUUCCGUUUCACGUCUCUUCCCACCAAAGCAUCUCCUCCCCUCCAUGGGCAGUGAGUAGGUGAUCCUCACUCUGCUUGUUCGGACCCACCUGUUACUUUUUUUCUGGUGACAGAAGCACAGUUUUAAACACCUCUCUGAAGAAGUCAUAGGACAGCAGAAAGUACAUGCUUUGGCAACUUCCCAUGAAAAAUUUUAGAUGUCAACUUCAA